rnacentral:rRNA from 1 species
GCAAGUCGAACGAGAAAGUCCGAAGCUUGCUUUGGACGAGUAGAGUGGCGCACGGGUGAGUAACGCGUGGGUAAUCUGCCUCUGAAUUUGGGAUAACACCUCGAAAGGGGUGCUAAUACCGGAUAACAUUCUAUUGAUUGCGGUUAAUGGAAUCAAAGAUAGCCUCUUCAUGAAAGCUAUUGUUUGGAGAUGAGCCUGCGUACCAUUAGCUUGUUGGUGGGGUAAUGGCCUACCAAGGCGACGAUGGUUAGCUGGUCUGAGAGGAUGAUC